CAGAUUCAGAAGAGAAACACACAACAUCAAAAAAAUGGAUGAAUCUGUAUAUUUCAGACUUCUUGUCAUUGCUCUCUGUUCAGUAUCUGAAUGCAGUCAGCGCCGGUAUCAUCAUAUAAACAUCAAUAUGAACUGGACUGAAGCUCAGAGAUACUGCAGAGAAAACUACACAGAUCUGGCAACAGUCAACAACAUGAAUGACAUGAAUGAGCUGAUGAGACGAGUGAAGGACAGCGGUGUGAACGAUAAUAAUCUGAGAGUCUGGAUUGGACUGAA